rnacentral:lncRNA from 1 species
GGGCUUACUAUUUUUAACAUUUUUAUUUUCUUUUUAGGAUAGUACGAAUAUGAUUAACUAAACAAACUAUUUGAAAUAAUUGAAAAGGGAAAGGAUAACUACCAAGUUUACCUCUUGGCAAGGCGUUCGGUAUUUUUAAGUCCUCCGAACGGGACUCUCCGUUUUCUCAGUCGUCCUGGGGUUCAUUGGAUGGCGGAGUCGGUGCUUCCGGCAGCGCCUCUUCUUCAUGUAUAGUUAUCUUCUUUUUUCACACCUGACUCGGUGCUACGGUCUCGUCAGGAUAAUUUUGUUCAAGCUGUAUGUCUUCAGACCUUAUUACUUCUCCUUCGUAGUCUGCCCAUCCAUCCUUGAUAAUUUCCCUCCUCUGGUUGCGGUUGCGUCGUUUUCUUCUUGUCCUGACCUGCUUAGAGUCUUCAACAAUAUAGUU